rnacentral:rRNA from 1 species
GACGAACGCUGGCGGCGUGCUUAACACAUGCAAGUCGAGCGAUGAAGCUCCUUCGGGAGUGGAUUAGCGGCGGACGGGUGAGUAACACGUGGGUAACCUGCCUCAUAGAGGGGAAUAGCCUUCCGAAAGGAAGAUUAAUACCGCAUAAGAUUGUAGUACCGCAUGGUAUAGCAAUUAAAGGAGCAAUCCGUUAUGAGAUGGACCCGGGUGGCAUUAGCUAGUUGGUGAGGUAACGGCUCACCAAGGCGACGAUGCGUAGCCGACCUGCGAGGGUGAUCGGACACAUUGGGACUGAGACACGGCCCAGACUCCGACGGGAGGCAGCAGUGGGGAAUAUUGCAAAAUGGGGGAAACCCUGAUGCAGCAACGCCGCGUGAGUGAUGACGGUCUUCGGAUUGUAAAACUCUGUCUUCAGGGACGAUAAUGACGGUACCUGAGGAGGAAGCCACGGCUAACUACGUGCCAGCAGCCGCAGUAACAC